UACGGGGGGGGCAAGCGUUGUUCGGAAUUACUGGGCGUAAAGGGCGCGUAGGCGGCUUGGUCAGUCCCGUGUGAAAUCCCUCGGCUCAACUGAGGAACUGCACGGGAAACUGCCUGGCUUGAGUUCGGGAGAGGGAAGCGGAAUUCCGGGUGUAGCGGUGAAAUGCGUAGAUACUGGGAGGAACACCGGUGGCGAAGGCGGCUACCUGGACCGGUUCUGACGCUGAUGCGCGAAAGCGUGGGUAGCAAACAGG
rnacentral:rRNA from 1 species